UCAGUUAUUCCUUUUCGAAUACACCAACACCCUUUUUGCUUUCCCUUCUUAAUCCGAAACCUACACUUGUCUUCCACUCCUCCUCAUACAUUGUGAAAACAAAUUCUCUGCAAUCCUUCUGAUACAUAAAAACAAAGAAAAAUAACUCUCUUCUUCUGUUUUGUAGCUUUCCUUCUCCUUUUUAUUUGCUUCAUCUGUUUCCAGCAUAUGCAUUUUCAAUAAUAUAGGGAGCUGACAGAAACAUUGCGGUUCAACGUUCGCGAUACAAAGAUUGCCGGCGAAUGCAGGUGCUUAAUUUGGAAUAUUGGCUGCUACUAGAGAUGGUCAUUAACCUUCUUGAUGGGAUCAUUUCGGUUAAAAGUGGAGGACAUGAGCACAGAUUCCCAGCUAGAGCCACCGCCUAUCGUUGAAGCAGUACUGAUAGAAACCAAAGGAUCCGAACUGGGCACAAUCAGGUCGGCUUGUUGCUGCAUCUGCUGAUGCUGUUGACUAGUGAAAGCUUCCUCAUUGAUGAUCGAAUUGAGAAAUGAAGAGAAGACAUCAUCGGUGCCGUAAUUGAUAUCUUCGUCUUCUUCGUUGUUAAGCCCUUGAACGUUGCUUCUCAAAUACAUCCCACAAGUACCAUCACCACAAUUCAGCAAGCUUGAAUAUCCAUGGCUUGCAUUAUUAUUGUUCCCGUUAAUGUGGUAGUGAUGAUCCAAGGAAGUGUUUUCGAUGUAUAAAUUUUGUUCGUUGCUGAUGAUUUGAGUACUGCCCCCGCUGUUUGUUUCUUCCACACCAGAAGAAGCAGCUGCACCAGCUGGAUUGUUAUUAUUACUCUUAGAGCUUGAUGUUUUGCGAUUUGCUUUAGAUGAAGAAGCUUUGUGAUGAUCAACAGAUUCAGGCUUGAGUGGCUUGUGGGUUCUUGGAUCGAUUCCUUGGCUUAUGAGCUUCUUGCUCAGGAGGCGAUGCAGGCGAAGAAUGAGAUCUUCUUCAUCAGGAGCGAUCUGGCCGCGUUUUACAGAAGGACGGAGGUAGUUCAUCCAUCGGAGACGGCAACUCUUACCGCAGCGGAGAAGUCCAGCUCUUUUAGGCAAGGUACGCCAGCGACCUUCCCCUUCUUUCUUGAUGUAGUUGACAAGAAGCUCAUCUUCUUCAGGCGUCCAUGGCCCUCUCUUUAACCCUACCUUGCUGCAACAUGGUGUUUUCGCUGUUGUCGUCGCUGCUUGUGGUCCUCCUCCUGCAGAAGUAGCCGUUGAUGGGUUCCUCAUCUUCUUCUUAUUCUGCUUCUUCUUCUUUCUCUGGUCUAUGAAUCCAACCAAAUCGUUUAUGUAUAUGUUCUGUUGGCGAUUGGCAUUGGGUAUGGCAAAGAUAAUUGAUAAAGAGAGGGGCUUUUUUGUUUCUUUAUUGUAAUAAAGAGUGUUGUGGUGAUAUACCCACGAGCAGUUAAAGAGAAUGAAGAACACGCGCCUAAAAAGUUUGGUGGCCAUUUUUGA